GUUUAUAUAAAUUAUGACAGUGUUGUCAAUAUGCAUGUUUUGUUUCUAAUCUUUCCAUGUACUUUAUCGGUUAUUUUUUAAAGUGUUUGUAUAAUUUGAGCUAAAUGUGAUUUAUUCUUAUCAUCAAUUAUUAAUCAUUCUGCUAUUUUGAAACUUUUCAUGGUAUUUUUAAUUGUAUUGAACUAGACCCUCAGACCUACAUAGAGUUUUAUGAGGUCAUCAGACUGAGUUUGAUGAUGAACUAAUGAUUUAAUUAUGGAAAAUUUGAUAAGAUUCUUGUCAGUUUUAGUAAUUUUUUCAUGUGACUUUGACUUUUUAAAAUUCGUAAACUCCAAACCACCAGACAAGGAUCAAAAUGAACAGACAUUUACACCAAGAAUCCAAAUACGUGCCAUACUUAUCAGGUGUCCUCAGCACAUUAUACCUGAUAACAAGGUUAGGGCUGGGGGGACAUCCAAUGAUGAUAAGGUGAUAUCUGUGCUGCGAACUGAUGACAUUAUGCGAUUCUCAGGAUUUGACAAGGAUGAACUGUUGAUGCAUUCUGAGGUAAAGAAUUGUAAAAGGAAAAUGAUUAUUACGAUGAUGAUUAACAAUUCAGGAAGGACGGUUACUGAAGAGGAAUUUGUAGUGGUAGAUCAUGUUUAUGAUCCCGAUCUCCAUAAACGAUCACGUCUGCUAAAUCCAUUAGUUUUCAAGAUAAAACAAGACGCUGUUUUGCAACUUUAUGGCAUGCGGUAUCUUCAGUCUGUAAACGCUAUGGCUAGAGAAGAAGUGCUCAAUAAGGGAAUGAAUAACUUCACAGGGUGUGACACCACAUCAUCCCAGCCCACAUGCGGAAUGGUGUUACAUAACAAGCGAGUUGUCCCGUUCAGUGAGGGAUUCUGUUGCUCUUGUGACUCCUAUGUGAACGUCCAACGGCAGCCGGGGUUGAGCAUUGUGCGCCAACAGAAACAGUUCUCAGAUCGCAAAGAGAGUCAUUUUGCUGACGAGAAAAACUCCAACGAUGCUGACAAAUAUUAUCACGAAAAAUCGAAACGAGAUGUCAAUGAACCGAAAGAUGAUAAAUAUCUACGAAAAAGAAAUAAAGAGAUGGAAAACAGAGAUUAUUCAAUAAAAAAUUCCAACAAUCUUGAUGUGCUACGCUCGAAAUACAUGGCAAGCGAUUUCGAUUUCGCAAAAAACGGAUUCUACACACCGCAAAUCGUGAGAAAAAGCAGUUUGGGUGACACUCUAAACAAAUUCUCAAAUCCUGAAGACAGUCUCUCGUGGGAACAGCACAAAGGCAGAUUGUAUGAUAAAAGUAGUAGAAUACUGUGGAAUAACGAUAAUGCCAAUCAGAUGCCGAAUAACAGCGAAGAGGACGAAUUUGAAGAUGGCGAUAGUGAGGGGAAGAAGAAGAGAAGUGCGGAUGAAGAGGGAGGACAGAGUUUGCAUGAGGAACGGAAAAAGAUCACAAAGAGAGAAGAAGGUGAAGAGAGGAAGGGAGAGGGUCACGAUGAGGAGGGAAGAGAACUUGAAUUGAAUAGUGAAGAGAAAAAUAGAACUGAUUCAAAUUAUGAAAUUAAGGAAAAACUUGGAGAACGAAAUGAGAAUUUACAAAGAAUAAGGAGGGAUGAGAAAGAUGCUGGGAUGGAAGAAAGUGAAGAUAUGAAUUUGGAAAUAAAUAAAAAAGGAAUAUUAGAUAGUAUUGGAAGAAGUGGAAUUGACCAUAAUAAUUAUAGAAUGGAGAAUAGGUAUGGUAUGUUGAAUACUCGAAACACAGAGGAAGGGCCUGGACAUAGGUUGAAUUCGUAUAAGAAAGACAUUGAUAAUCUUUAUGAUUUAGAAAGAGGGGAAGAAAAGUUGAAUGUUGAAGACGAAAAUACGAUUAAUGAAAAUAGUGAAGUUGAGGCAGAUCCUGGUACAGACUCUGAUCAUUUAGAUGGCUUGAAUGGAGUUGAAAAAGAAAUUUACGACGGAGAUUUAAAAAUGAAAAAAGUACGAAGUGUUCAUGAUGAACCAGAGAGCUUGAUGCGCAGUAGCCUGAGAGUGACCGAAGAGAAACCAUACUGGCUGAGACCGAAAGAUUGGACGAGCCUGAAGGCGCUGAAGCUCAGAUUGAAAGGUCUGAAACCCAAUUCUCCACAAUUUCAAAACUCGUAUCAACCCGCUCACAGAUACGUGAAGGUUCUAGAAGAAAAUCGCCCGGUUAUGGAAAACGCCAAAGGUUUCCAAGUGUCCGACUUUCGACCUAGUUGGAACCCUAGCUCAAAAAUAAAGUUUCAUAAACCUUCACCCUGGGACAUAUUCCCUAAAAAAUGUGCCACCGAUAAACGUAAGCACAGUAUACUUCGACUUUUGACUAAACUCAAUGAGGAACGGUGUCAUCCUGAUGAAGACUUCAAAAUUUCAGAUAAUUUGAUGAAAAAUUCUGGACAAGAUUCGAAAUUAUUUGAUAGUUUGAUGAAAGAUAUCGAGAGAAAGCUGGUGCGGAAUAGCAGGAACAAUGUGAAUGAAACUGAACAAUCCAAUUUGAAUCAUACUGAGAGUCUCGGCGAAGAGUCAUCCAACAAAUUUAGUAAGAAUGAUUGUGCGGAAGCGUGGAGUGAACUUCAAACACUCCUCUUAGAAGAAGCUAUAGAGGAGAAGUUAUGUCUACAUGAUAGAAAUAGAACCUCAAAUGAGUCAAACAUCGCUUACAAUACGGAAGAUAAAAACAUUAUUGAUAGACUAAGGCGACAAAUCGAUCGUUGGGUUGAUGAUUAUUUUGAAAUAGAUGCAUCGAACAUUCAUGAUAAUUCAAGCAACAAAUAUAUGAACGGUGAUGAUUUGGUAAUGCCUGUAAACGAAGGUGAUUAUCUAUAUUUCGUGGACCCUGCUCAAAAUCUUGCGUCAUCGGAUGGGUUGUUAAGGUAUCCUUAUAGGAAUAUCGGGGAGAAUGGAGAGGUUGGAGGUAGGAAUUCUCAAAAUUUUGUUUUUGACGAUGGACAAAUGUUUCCAGGACUGGAUAAUAUUGAUGCAAUGUCCGAGAACGAUAGGAAUGCUAGUAGUUUGUAUGAAUUUCGUCAAAGAAAUAGGAAUGCACUGGGUCUGUUACCAGGAGCUGGGAAAAUUUUCAACUCUGAUGAAGAUAAUUUCUAUGGAAAUUCACGUGAACAGUCGAAAAUUGAUGUUAAGAAAAAUAAUAAUUGGAAAAGUGCUGUUGAUGAAAAUUUGGUAUUGAAUUAUCCAGAUUUGCCACUAAAAGAGAAGAUUGAUGGGAAAAUUCACCCAGAAGGCUCUCUAGUGAAUGAUUAUGAUAAAAACCACAUGAUGAUUAAUAAAGAAGAAGAAAAUAGUGGUCCAAACGAAUUUCAUCUAAAUCCACCACUACACUUCCAUAGUGAUUCUGGUCCUGUAUUCAUUGAUGUAACCAAGUAUGGUCCACUAUUGGAUACACGACCUUUGGAAAUAUCGAAGUCCUCAUUCAAUUCCUUUCCAUUGAUACAUAACGAUCUAGAUCUAAUCAAUUCUCCAGAUUUCGAUAAAAUGAGAAGUGUUCACAGUAAAUUUUCAAUAAAAUUGAAUUCACCAGAGAAAUCCUCCCCGGAAUUAUUGGAUAGUAAUUUGCAGGAUCAUAGAAUAAUAACGGAUGGAUCUGGAGAGAAUUCAAAUAGGAACUUUCAUAAUGAAGAAACUGAACAUACAGGAAAAAUUUCAAACUCAGGAAGUGAUAAUCCGAAUUCGAAAGGAAAAGAAAGUUCAGGAUUGAAACAUAAUUCAAUGUUUGAUAGACGAGAUUCUUACUUCAUUGACAAUAACUCAAAUACAAACAGGGAUGAAAGUUCUCUCCUCAUUAAUAACAACUUCAAUUCAAACUCGACUAAACUUGGGGGCUUCAAAUUUGGGAGGGAUUUUGAUCAAAAUGCUAGAAAUUAUCCGGAUCCUAGUAACAGAUUGGUAGGCUCAGGAGCCAGUAACAUGUAUAAAUUUGAAGAUGAGAAUUCUUAUAAAUUAGCAAAUAAUGCUAUGAUGUUUGAUGAUAUGCCUGUCCCCAAUAAUGUGUCUCAUAUGUCGCGAAAUGAUAAUUUGUCUCACAAAUCCUAUCAUGUUUACAAACAGGAAAUUGAGUCACCGUUUAUUAUCGAUACAUCUCAUGAUAAACAUAACCCAAACUUUAAAGUCAUGAAUUCUAAUGACAAUGAUAUUGAUGAUAAAAGAUCACAUUUCUUGGAGGUUGCCACAGAAUUCGGGAGCCCUUCAAUAUUGAAUACAUCGGAUAUGCAGUAUCUAUUGCAAAAUGCUAUGGAUAGUGGAGGGACUGAGAAUUCAACCUCAUCCGUUUCCAAAAACGCGUUCAAAGGUGAGUUUGACAAUACAACACCAUCUGAUUUCCAAGAAAGUUUUUUGUUCAACACCUCGAAAGCGGCCCCUAUUCUCAUCUCCGGAAAUGUAGGAAAUAUCUACGGCCAAAAAGGGAAACUCAUUUUUAUUCCUGAUGAUGAUGAUGAUUCUGAAGAAGUGACUACUAAGAAACAAGUCCCCUAUCGAGGAAAUUUCAUAGGAAACUAUAACUCAAGGUUAUAUCCACCAAUGAGUGAAUCCAAUAUGAGUUAUCCUGGCUUGAUGAACUCUGGGGGAACAUGUAAUGUGGGGAAACAAGGCUAUGGGAUAUCACAUAUGGGAAAAGACAAUAUAAAUGUCAAAUCGAGGAUAUUUCCUUCAUUUUUGAAAAACUGGUCAAGGACUCCAGAUGGAAGUUAUCUGGAUACAAGUCAUGUAAAAGUUUCCAAAAUUAGAAGUGUUUCUAAUACUGAUAACUCACAAUCAAAUUUAGUACAAAGGAACAAUAAGUUGAAUUACAGUUCGAAUGAACAUAUUACUUGUGAAAUGAGAGUUUCAAAUGAACUGUCAAGCAAUGAAGCUGAAAUUCAUGAUAAUUUUGUCUCGCCCAGACAAAUCUCAACGCUAGACAAAUCGUUUAAUAAUGUUGACUCAUUCAGUACAGUUCCAAAGAAGAUCCUUGAUAAAUAUGGGUUAAAAAGAGACGUAAGUGGGUUGAUGGAAGAUGAGAAGAUUGAGAAACGAGACAUUGGGAAGGUAUGUGAAUCAAGACUGAAGAAAAAUUCGAAAAAAGUUAGGAGACAAGUCAGUUCAAAUGGGAAUCAAAUCAGAGGAGGUCAGAAUUGCAUUGAUCGAUAUGUACCUUCAGGAGCCAAUCCCAUAACUUACCAUGAAAGUGCACAUUGUUUGAGAUUCAGCGAAUUAUGGUACUCUGUGUACACCUUGAAAAAGCCAAGUCUUGAUCAUUCCCUGCACCUUCAAACUGUAUGAGAAAGCUAAUUUCCCUCAUGCCACUCAUUGGGAAGAGCUGACCAGAGGAAUUACCACUGAUUUGGGAACGGGCAAUCGGCACAUAGAAGAUGGCUACUCGACACUGUCAUUCACGUACAUUCCACUGACCGACCUGAUGCGAGGGGACUUCUGCCUAGACGAGCACAGGGCCACCCUUCUCGUCCCGGAGUCCCUGCCUCCUGAUCUGGCUGCCAAGUACCCUCAACUCAAUGGUAGUCCAAACGAGUAUCUGUUGGUGCAGAGUGACGACAUCUCAUUGGAGGGUGACGAAUGUAACAAGGUGGGAACUAGUUUCGAAGGUUUCGCCACUCAGCCUGACAGGUGUGCUCAGCCGCGAGGUACCUGUCUGCAAAAUCAACCGAUUGAUAUGUGGACUCAUGAUAUUAUGGCACGCGAUGAGGGAAGACCUGGCAAGUUUUUCUUGGAGAACUAUGCAAUUGUGGCCGAGCAGCCUCUUCUAAUGAAUCACUCCUCACAGGAACAGUCUCUGGCUCUCGAAUAUUACAGACAGUUCUCCACCAUCAUUGAAAUUGAAGUCAAGUCAGACUUGAAUGCGAUUGUACGAACCGGCGAAUCAGGCCAACUGUCGGAAAUAUACGUGGACAGCACGUGUCACUCGAACACGAAGCUCACAGUGAUCGUAACCAACCAGGGCCUGGCCUCAUCUGCCUACUACCCAAAGCUGUCCAAUUGCCCCGUGGAACUGCCCGAGGUGUGGACGCACAACGUGGGGCCUCUCGUCAUGAUAGCACCCCAGCA